rnacentral:lncRNA from 1 species
AAUAACAAGCAUAACUUGAAUAUGUUAUCUAAUUCAAAAUUUAGAUGUUCAGUUGACAAAUUACCUUAUAAAUUUCAGAAAAAGAAGAAAUGAGGUCAGUAUGAAAAUUCUACUUAUCCUAGAGUUUUGACAGUCUUGAUCUUAAUAGGGGUUUUCUGUAACUUUUUGCUGCUGCUAACAGCUUCACCAGUUUGGAGAUAUAUACAUUGGAGCACAUCCUUAGACCUUGCUGCUUAAAAUAAUCUUUUUCUUUCUUCGCUAACAUCUUAUUACAAUAUAGAUGGAUUUAAUAUAUGUACAGCAUGCAUGACACAAU